rnacentral:lncRNA from 1 species
GUUUAUGUAUAACAAGCCUACUGAUUUUCACUUCUUUCUCACAAAGCAUGGCCUACCAGUCAUGUGGAUUUUGACUUCUACCCUUGAAUGGAACAGAGUUCAUCUCGUCAGCUAGGAGAUAGAGGUAUGAAGACAACAAGAGAGAAAUUUAACUCAAAAAUUGUGUUGCUCUUUUAUCAAAGAACAAAGAGCAGAAGAGGGAAAAUAGACCCUGCAAUGAAAAUUAAGUGCUAUGCUUCUGCCAGCUGUCUUCAGUGGCUUGCCCAGUUUUUGAGUGAUUAAAAGAGAAGUUAUAAACCAGAGUACUUCACCUGCUUACUCGUAGGAGGCUUUGAUGUUGGAAUGCAAUAACUCUUUCAGCAUGGAUGGAAUUCAAAGACUUACCUUAUCAAACUCCUCUGGGAAGUGAAACUACUGAAGAUAUUUUAUUUUGACCACUGUUAAAAUUUUUUUAAAGGAGAAAGCAGAAAACUUAUGUUAAACGAAUGUAUGAACUUAUAAUAAAAAAUGCCUAUGUGGAAACCAUUCCUGAAUGCAUGUAGCUGUCAGUAUAAUUAAUUACCAAUAGGUAAAACAUAGAUCUUAGGUAUUCAUUAAGAUGAUUAUAACAACCAAGUACAGAGAAUUGAAUCAUUUUGUUAAUCAGAAUAACUGUAUGCCUGAAAAAUAAACUUGAUUUGAACAAUAUUGAUUCACAUGACUAUUACUUUGAGUUGAUAUUUUUAUGAACAUAUUUUUAUCUCUUUUCACCCUAUUUUGUAUGUGGCAUGUUUGCUGAUGCAUGAACUCUGUCACUUAGACUCUUCUAAAAGCACAAAUAUAGACACCCAAAUGGGUUUGCUCUGUUUCUGCUUAUCAAAUAUCAACUAGAACUAUUAAAUCUAUAGUUUAUAGUGAAUUUCACACUCCCAAAUUAUUUAAUUUCAA